rnacentral:rRNA from 1 species
CUGCCUCAUACAGGGGGAUAACAGUUAGAAAUGACUGCUAAUACCGCAUAAGACCACAGCACCGCAUGGUGCAGGGGUAAAAACUCCGGUGGUACAGGAGGGUCCCGCGUCUGAUUAGCCAGUUGGCGGGGUAACGGCCCACCAAAGCGACGAUCAGUAGCCGGCCUGAGAGGGUGGACGGCCACAUUGGGACUGAGACACGGCCCAAACUCCUACGGGAGGCAGCAGUGGGGAAUAUUGCACAAUGGGGGAAACCCUGAUGCAGCGACGCCGCGUGAGUGAAGAAGUAUUUCGGUAUGUAAAGCUCUAUCAGCAGGGAAGAAGAUGACGGUACCUGAGUAAGAAGCCCCGGCUAACUACGUGCCAGCAGCCGCGGUAAUACGUAGGGGGCAAGCGUUAUCCGGAUUUACUGGGUGUAAAGGGAGCGUAGACGGUGAAGCAAGUCUGGAGUGAAAACCCGGGGCUUAACCCCGGGAUUGCUUUGGAAACUGUUUAACUGGAGUGCAGGAGAGGUAAGCGGAAUUCCUAGUGUAGCGGUGAAAUGCGUAGAUAUUAGGAGGAACACCAGUGGCGAAGGCGGCUUACUGGACUGUAACUGACGUUGAGGCUCGAAAGCGUGGGGAGCAAACAGGAUUAGAUACCCUGGUAGUCCACGCGGUAAACGAUGAUUACUAGGUGUAGGUGGGUAUGGACCCAUCGGUGCCGCAGCUAACGCAGUAA